UACGUAGGGGGCAAGCGUUGUCCGGAGUUACUGGGCGUAAAGCGCACGCAGGCGGUCUCUUAAGUUUGGAGUGACAGUUGGUGGCUUAACUGCCAAAGUGCUUCGAAAACUGAGAGACUUGAGGGCUUCAGAGGGACACGGAAUUCCGGGUGGAGUGGUGAAAUGCGUAGAGAUCCGGAGGAACACCAAAGGCGAAGGCAGUGUCCUGGGGAGUACCUGACGCUAAGGUGCGAAAGCCAGGGGAGCGAACGGG
rnacentral:rRNA from 1 species